rnacentral:lncRNA from 1 species
CCACAUUUAGGAAUCUCUCAUCAUUUUCAAAUUUUUUACUAACUUGAAGUCCUUGCAACGAAUUGCAUAUAUGAACUGGACUUUUGAUAUCCAAUACCCAGAUAGUAGUGUCACAUAUGAAGAAAUUAUAAGGUGUUAUCAUAUAAGCACCUUGAUUAGCAACUAAUUGCUCAUUUUUUUUUAGCUUAUUUGGGUCAUAGUCUGCUUGACUUGAUUCAGCCCUA